rnacentral:rRNA from 1 species
UACGGAAGGUCCAGGCGUUAUCUGGAUUUAUUGGGUUUAAAGGGAGCGCAGGCGGACCUUUAAGUCAGCUGUGAAAUACGGCGGCUCAACCGUCGAACUGCAGUUGAUACUGGAGGUCUUGAGUGCACACAGGGAUACUGGAAUUCAUGGUGUAGCGGUGAAAUGCUCAGAUAUCAUGAAGAACUCCAAUCGCGAAGGCAGGUAUCCGGGGUGCAACUGACGCUGAGGCUCGAAAGUGCGGGUAUCAAACAGG